rnacentral:lncRNA from 1 species
AGAGAGAGUGAGAGAGGUUAGGAGGAGAGAGAGAGAGGUUAGGAGGAGAAAGAGAGAGAGAUUAGGAGGAGAGAGAGAGAGGUUAGGAGGAGAGAGAGAGAGGUUAGGAGGACAGAGAGAGAGAGGUUAGAAGGAGAGAGAGAGAGGUUAGGAGAGAGAGAGAGGUUAGGAGAGAGAGAGAGGUUAGGAGGAGAGAGAGGUUAGGAGAGAGAGAGAUUAGAAGGAGAGAAAGCGAGAGCUUAGGAGGAGAGAGAGAGAGGUUAGAAGGAUAGCUAAACAGACUGACAUAUAUUUCUAGAUUAUUCUUUCCUUCAUAUCCUCCAGGAAAACACAGACAGGAGAACACUAAAUCUUAAUUGCAUCGUUCCAAUAGUGGCAGCUGA